rnacentral:lncRNA from 1 species
CGUGGGGCGGGCGGAAGCACCCGGCGGGGUGGGCGCGCCCGGCCUCUGGCCGCGAGUUGACUACUGCGGCGUGAGUCAGUGGCAGCGCCGGGACCCCGCGUCCCCGCGUGGAGUCUUCGCUCAGAACAGAGGCAGCUUCCACCCCAGUCCCUAGGUGUGGACACAUCAGGACAGGAACGAAUCAAACAGAGCAGGUUCCACCUUGGACCAAGAUGAGGAGCCAUUCAGAGUAGCUGCUGCCUCUGGAAAGGUCCCCAGUGUCCUGGGCAGCCCAGCGGGUGAGUCAGGAGGUGGGGGGCAGGGAGCUGGGUUGGGUGUGGUUGGCUGAGCCCCAGCUUUGAAGUGCGGGAGGCUUCGUGGAGGCCAGACCUGAGGUCCCAGUUUUCAUUUUGAAAAUAGGCAGAGAGACAGGGGAGAGG